rnacentral:rRNA from 1 species
GACGAACGCUGGCGGCGGGCUUAACACAUGCAAGUCGAACGGAAAGGCCCUGCUUGUGUGGGGUGCUCGAGUGGCGAACGGGUGAGUAACACGUGAGUCACCUGGCCUUGGCUUUGGGAUAACUUCAGGAAACUGGUGCUAAUACCGGAUAGCAGCUCGUGCUGCAUGGUGGGGGUUGGAACGUUUAGGCGGUUGGGGAUGUACUCGCGCCUUAUCAGCUUGUUGGUGGGGUAGUGGCUUACCCAGGCUUUGACGGAUGGCCGGCCUGAGAGGGUGACCGGGCACAUUGGGACUGAGAUACGGCACAGACUCGUACGGGAGACAGCAGUGGGGAAUAUUGUACAAUGGUGGGGAGUCUGAUGCAGAAACGCCGCGUGCGGGAUGACGGCCUUCAGGGUGGAAAGCGCAUUCGGCUGUGACGAAGCGUGAGUGACGGUACUGGGUAAAGAAGCACCGGCUAACUACGUG